AUGAACGCUGGCGGCGUGCCUAAUACAUGCAAGUCGAGCGAACGGACGAGAAGCUUGCUUCUCUGAUGUUAGCGGCGGACGGGUGAGUAACACGUGGAUAACCUACCUAUAAGACUGGGAUAACUUCGGGAAACCGGAGCUAAUACCGGAUAAUAUUUUGAACCGCAUGGUUCAAAAGUGAAAGACGGUCUUGCUGUCACUUAUAGAUGGAUCCGCGCUGCAUUAGCUAGUUGGUAAGGUAACGGCUUACCAAGGCAACGAUGCAUAGCCGACCUGAGAGGGUGAUCGGCCACACUGGAACUGAGACACGGUCCAGACUCCUACGGGAGGCAGCAAUAGGGAAUCUUCCGCAAUGGGCGAAAGCCUGACGGAGCAACGCCGCGUGAGUGAUGAAGGUCUUCGGAUCGUAAAACUCUGUUAUUAGGGAAGAACAUAUGUGUAAGUAACUGUGCACAUCUUGACGGUACCUAAUCAGAAAGCCACGGCUAACUACGUG
rnacentral:rRNA from 1 species